AGACCCGAAACCCGGUGAUCUAGCCAUGGGCAGGUUGAAGGUUGGGUAACACUAACUGGAGGACCGAACCGACUAAUGUUGAAAAAUUAGCGGAUGACCUGUGGCUGGGGGUGAAAGGCCAAUCAAACCGGGAGAUAGCUGGUUCUCCCCGAAAGCUAUUUAGGUAGCGCCUCGUGAAUUCAUCUCCGGGGGUAGAGCACUGUUUCGGCUAGGGGGCCAUCCCGGCUUACCAACCCGAUGCAAACUGCGAAUACCGGAGAAUGUUAUCACGGGAGACACACGGCGGGUGCUAACGUCCGUCGUGAAGAGGGAAACAACCCAGACCGCCAGCUAAGGUCCCAAAGUCAUGGUUAAGUGGGAAACGAUGUGGGAAGGCCCAGACAGCCAGGAUGUUGGCUUAGAAGCAGCCAUCAUUUAAAGAAAGCGUAAUAGCUCACUGGUCGAGUCGGCCUGCGCGGAAGAUGUAACGGGGCUAAACCAUGCACCGAAGCUGCGGCAGCGAACGUAUCACUUAAAGCGAUUCAGCAGAUGACGAUUGACGGAGCGAAGCGACGUCAAAGCGUAUACAAAGUCGAGUCGGUUUAAGGAUACGUU
rnacentral:rRNA from 1 species